CGAACGGGAAACCUUUUAUUGAAGCUUCGGCAGAUUUAGAUUGUUUCUAGUGGCGGACGGGUGAGUAACGCGUGGGUAACCUGCCUUAUACAGGGGGAUAACAGUCAGAAAUGACCGCUAAUACCGCAUAAGCGCACAGAGCUGCAUGGCUCGGUGUGAAAAACUCCGGUGGUAUAAGAUGGACCCGCGUUGGAUUAGCUAGUUGGUGAGGUAACGGCCCACCAAGGCGACGAUCCAUAGCCGGCCUGAGAGGGUGAACGGCCACAUUGGGACUGAGACACGGCCCAGACUCCUACGGGAGGCAGCAGUGGGGAAUAUUGCACAAUGGGGGAAACCCUGAUGCAGCGACGCCGCGUGAAGGAAGAAGUAUCUCGGUAUGUAAACUUCUAUCAGCAGGGAAGAAAAUGACGGUACCUGACUAAGAAGCCCCGGCUAACUACGUGCCAGCAGCCGCGGUAAUACGUAGGGGGCAAGCGUUAUCCGGAUUUACUGGGUGUAAAGGGAGCGUAGACGGAUGGACAAGUCUGAUGUGAAAGGCUGGGGCUCAACCCCGGGACUGCAUUGGAAACUGCCCGUCUUGAGUGCCGGAGAGGUAAGCGGAAUUCCUAGUGUAGCGGUGAAAUGCGUAGAUAUUAGGAGGAACACCA
rnacentral:rRNA from 1 species